rnacentral:rRNA from 1 species
UACGUAGGGUGCAAGCGUUGUCCGGAAUUAUUGGGCGUAAAGAGCUCGUAGGCGGUUCGUCGCGUCGGCUGUGAAAUCCCGAGGCUCAACCUCGGGACUGCAGUCGAUACGGGCGGACUGGAGUUCGGCAGGGGAGACUGGAAUUCCUGGUGUAGCGGUGAAAUGCGCAGAUAUCAGGAGGAACACCGGUGGCGAAGGCGGGUCUCUGGGCCGAUACUGACGCUGAGGAGCGAAAGCGUGGGGAGCGAACAGG